GACGAACGCUGGCGGCGUGCUUAACACAUGCAAGUCGAACGGAAAGGCCCUGCUUUUGUGGGGUGCUCGAGUGGCGAACGGGUGAGUAACACGUGAGUAACCUGCCCUUGACUUUGGGAUAACUUCAGGAAACUGGGGCUAAUACCGGAUAGGAGCUCCUGCUGCAUGGUGGGGGUUGGAAAGUUUCGGCGGUUGGGGAUGGACUCGCGGCUUAUCAGCUUGUUGGUGGGGUAGUGGCUUACCAAGGCUUUGACGGGUAGCCGGCCUGAGAGGGUGAACGGCCACAUUGGGACUGAGAUACGGCCCAGAAUCCUACGGGAGGCAGCAGUGGGGAAUAUUGCACAAUGGGCGGAAGCCUGAGGCAGAAACGCCGCGUGCGGGAUGACGGCCUUCGGGUUGUAAACCGCUUUCGACUGUGACGAAGCGUGAGUGACGGUAAUGGGUAAAGAAGCACCGGCUAACUACGUG
rnacentral:rRNA from 1 species